rnacentral:rRNA from 1 species
UACGGAGGGGACUAGCGUUGUUCGGAAUUACUGGGCGUAAAGCGCACGUAGGCGGCUUUCUAAGUCAGGGGUGAAAUCCUGGAGCUCAACUCCAGAACUGCCUUUGAUACUGGAGAGCUUGAGUCCGGAAGAGGUGAGUGGAACUCCGAGUGUAGAGGUGAAAUUCGUAGAUAUUCGGAAGAACACCAGUGGCGAAGGCGGCUCACUGGUCCGGUACUGACGCUGAUGUGCGAAAGCGUGGGGAGCAAACAGG